rnacentral:ncRNA from 1 species
UGCCAGUCUCUUCAUGACUAGCGGACGAGCGCACCGUACCCGGCCUGCGACAAGACGGUGCAUG